rnacentral:rRNA from 1 species
ACGAACGCUGGCGGCGUGCUUAACACAUGCAAGUCGAACGGAAAGGCCCUGCUUUUGUGGGGUGCUCGCGUGGCGAACGGGUGAGUAACACGUGAGUAACCUGCCCUUGACUUUGGGAUAACUUCAGGAAACUGGGGCUAAUACCGGAUAGGAGCUCCUGCUGCAUGGUGGGGGUUGGAAAGUUUCGGCGGUUGGGGAUGGACUCGCGGCUUAUCAGCUUGUUGGUGGGGUAGUGGCUUACCAAGGCUUUGACGGGUAGCCGGCCUGAGAGGGGGACCGGCCACAUUGGGACUGAGAUACGGCCCAGACUCCUACGGGAGGCAGCAGUGGGGAAUAUUGCACAAUGGGCGGAAGCCUGAUGCAGCAACGCCGCGUGCGGGAUGACGGCCUUCGGGUUGUAAACCGCUUUCGCCUGUGACGAAGCGUGAGUGACGGUAAUGGGUAAAGAAGCACCGGCUAACUACGUG